AAAUUGUUACCAGCAAGUCAAGUGGCACUUUGGAUAAGAAAGGGAAUGGGGCUUGGAUUUUCUUGAGCCCCUGGAGUUCUGGCCAACUCCCAGCGGUCUGGAAAAUCUCGUGAGUCAAAGGUGAAACAAACAACAUUGUAAAAGUUAAAGGAAAACCAGAGCUGCAUUUUUGCACACCCACGAAUGAUGAUAUCAGCUGGCAUCCUGGGGUUAUAAGCGGGAGCCUCCAAAAGUGCAAUUUGAGGUCUCACCUGCGUGAUGCAGACCUUUUCCCAGUUGGGACUCCAAAUGGCUGUGGUCGAGGGACUUCCCAGCUCUGUCUAAGCCUGGAUGUUGGUCGGCCCCCUGUGGUGAUCUUUUCUGGAAGUAUAUGUUUCUAUGGAUUCAAAAGGAAGGGGCUUCCCAGGUGGCACUAGAACCUGCCUGCCAAUUCAGGAGCUAUAAGCACAUGCAGGCUCGAUCCCCGGAUCGGAUCAGGAAGAUCUUCUGGAGGAUUGCACGAAACCCACUUCAGAAUCCUUGCCUGGGAAAUCCCAUGGACAGAGGAGCAUGGCAGGUUGCCCUCCAGUGGGUCCCAAAGUGUCAGACGCCAUGGAAUCGACUUAGCAUGCAGGCAGGGAUGCCUACCACCUUCCAGAUGAGGAUUCUGUGGGGAGCAGGUUUGAACACCGCAAGUCAUCUGGCACCAUGGCAGUUUCUGAGGGUGCUCCCCCAGGGCCCAGAGUAACCAAGCCAGUCCCCCAGGAAGGUCUGAGUCGGCUCAGGGACUCACGUCUGGGAUCCCCAGCUCCUGUGCCUGCAGCCCCACCAGUGACUUGCCUGCCACGCCCCAGCUGAUGCCAGGGAGCUCUUCACGCUUGCGCAGGACUUGCCUUCAAAGAGUAAAUUAAGUAACAUGCCAGGCCGGAUGAAGCACAAGCUGGAAUCAAGGCUGCUGGGAGAAAUA